rnacentral:rRNA from 1 species
AGAGUUUGAUCAUGGCUCAGAAUGAACGCUGGCGGCGUGCCUAACACAUGCAAGUCGAGCGAGAAAUCACACUUCGGUGUGAGAGUAGAGCGGCGCACGGGUGAGUAACGCGUGGAUAAUCUACCCAUGGAUUGGGGAUAACCCUGCGAAAGCGGGGCUAAUACCUGAUAGUCUGGUCAUUAUAUAGAUGAUCGGUAAAGGUGGCCUCUGAUACAAGCUGCUGUCCGUGGAUGAGUCCGCGUCUCAUUAGCUGGUUGGUGGGGUAAUGGCCUACCAAGGCGACGAUGAGUAGCUGGUCUGAGAGGAUGAUCAGCCACACUGGGACUGGAACACGGCCCAGACUCCUACGGGAGGCAGCAGUGGGGUAUAUUGGGCAAUGGGCGCAAGCCUGACCCAGCAACGCCGUGUGAGGGAAGAAGGUUUUCGGAUCGUAAACCUCUGUCAGAAGGGAAGAAGUGGCAGAUAUUUAAUAUAUAUUUGCUUUGACGGUACCUUCAGAGGAAGCACCGGCUAACUCCGUGCCAGCAGCCGCGGUAAUACGGAGGGUGCAAGCGUUAUUCGGAAUCACUGGGCGUAAAGCGCGCGUAGGUUGCGUGGGUAAGUCAGAUGUGAAAGCCCCCGGCUCAACCGGGGAACUGCAUUUGAAACUGCC